rnacentral:tRNA from 1 species
GCGAGUUUGGCCGAGUGGUCUAAGGCGCCGUGUUUAGGCCGCGGUGGGCAUCGCCCGCGCAGGUUCGAACCCUGCAGCUCGCA